GACGGAGGGUGCAAGCGUUGUUCGGAAUUACUGGGCGUAAAGCGCGUGUAGGCGGUUCGAUAAGUCGAAUGUGAAAGCCCGAGGCUCAACCUCGGAAGUGCAUUCGAAACUGUCGUGCUUGAGUACGGGAGAGGGAAGCGGAAUUCCUGGUGUAGAGGUGAAAUUCGUAGAUAUCAGGAGGAACACCGGUGGCGAAGGCGGCUUCCUGGACCGAUACUGACGCUGAGACGCGAAAGCGUGGGGAGCAAACAGG
rnacentral:rRNA from 1 species